GACGAACGCUGGCGGCGUGCUUAACACAUGCAAGUCGAACGGAAAGGCCCUGCUUUUGUGGGGUGCUCGAGUGGCGAACGGGUGAGUAACACGUGAGUAACCUGCCCUUGACUUUGGGAUAACUUCAGGAAACUGGGGCUAAUACCGGAUAGGAGCUCCUGCUGCAUGGUGGGGGUUGGAAAGUUUCGGCGGUUGGGGAUGGACUCGCGGCUUAUAAGCUUGUUGGUGGGGUAGUGGCUUACCAAGGCUUUGACGGGUAGCCGGCCUGAGAGGGUGAACGGCCACAUUGGGACUGAGAUACGGCCCAGACGCCUACGGGCGGCAGCAGUGGGGAAUAUUGCACAAUGGGCGGAAGCCUGAUGCAGCAACGCCGCGUGCGGGAUGACGGCCUUCGGGUUGUAAACCGCUUUCGCCUGUGACGAAGCGUGAGUGACGGCAAUGGGUAAAGAAGCACCGGCUAACUACGUG
rnacentral:rRNA from 1 species